GGCGUCUUUGGCGUCCGAGUUGUAAUUUGCAGAGGGCGCUUUGGCAUUGGCAGCGGUCCAAGUUCCUUGGAACAGGACGUCACAGAGGGUGAGAAUCCCGUACGUGGUCGCUAGCCUUUACCGUGUAAAGCCCCUUCGACGAGUCGAGUUGUUUGGGAAUGCAGCUCUAAAUGGGAGGUAAAUUUCUUCUAAAGCUAAAUACUGGCCAGAGACCGAUAGCGCACAAGUAGAGUGAUCGAAAGAUGAAAAGCACUUUGGAAAGAGAGUUAAAAAGCACGUGAAAUUGUUGAAAGGGAAGCGCUUGCAGCCAGACUUGCCUGUAGUUGCUCAUCCGGGUUUUUACCCGGUGCACUCUUCUACGGGCAGGCCAGCAUCAGUUUGGGCGGUUGGAUAAAGGUCUCUGUCAUGUACCUCCUCUCGGGGAGAACUUAUAGGGGAGACGACAUGCAACCAGCCCGGACUGAGGUCCGCGCAUCUGCUAGGAUGCUGGCGUAAUGGCUGUAAGCGGCCCGU
rnacentral:rRNA from 2 species